rnacentral:sRNA from 1 species
AUGGAAUCUGAAUUUGACUGCCGUUUAUGUGGAAAAUCAGAAAAGAAGAUCACACAUCGUCAUUUGCCUUGUGAAAAAUCUAAGCACGCAAGAGACAUUAAACUAGCAUUAAAUAUUGAAAUUGAAAAUGAUCCUCCUUUUUUGUCAAAUUUCAUAUGUGAAAGCUGUCGGCUUAAAUUAGUAAGAUGGAGAAAAGAUGUUAAUAAGAAUAAGAAAGCCAAAAUCAACAUUGAGGUAGUGGAAAUUGAAUCGGGCGAUAUCUUGUCCCAGUCACAAUCAAACAGUACUUGGCAAGGUAUUGAAUCUUUGGCAAACGAAUUAGGAUGGGUUUCUAACAUUCAAGACGGAUCAAGAUGUUUUAUAAAAUUGCAGGAAGACAGAGUUCUUCUUAGCAUAUGUGUUGACUCCGACCUGAACUGCAGAAUCAUAGUCUUAGAAAAAGUUGUUAAAUUUGAAAAUAUUCUUGAAAAUAGCACAAGUAUCAAUGAUGCAUCAAUUGUUGAAAAGUUGAUGAAUAAAAUUUCAUGCAUGAAGGUUUGCCCAGGAAACGAUGACUUUUCUGAUAUUUGUCGUUAUCGGUUUCCUAGCACACUAGCAAAAUUUAGAAACACAGAAGACAUUUUAAUAGCAUCUGAAGAACAUUUAGCACAUAGAACAACAAUACGCACAGUUGCUUGUGGUAUGUUAUGUGAUAGCCAGCAAGAAAGAUGUUCAAAUUGUCAGGUUUUCCGACCAAACCUCUUCAUGCAACGGAGUAGAAUGAAAAACAAUUCAUCAGAAACAAAGCUAACACAUAGACUGGAUUAUAUGACAACUGGUCAGUUGAAAGAGAGAGUAUUGAACUCAAGGGAUGAAAUACGAAGUCUUAAAAGAAAAAUGGACAGUCUAAAAGAACAGUUAUCUGAAUACUGCGACAAGUUAGGAGUGAAGUUGGACAUUGAAAUUUCAGAGUCUUUUGUAAGCAUAAUGAAAGAAAACAGUGACAUUGCGCUAUCAAAAUUUAAAGAAAAUAGUCCACAAUACAUUCUUUGGAAACAGCAACUAGAAGCGGCAACAAAGUCAAAUCUGAAGCAAAUGAGAUGGCAUCCAACUUUGUUAAGGUGGUGUAUAGCUUUGCAUGCAAAAUCUCCAUCUGCUUACAGAAUGCUUAAGAAAAGCAACGUACUAACACUUCCACAUGAGAAUACACUCCGGGAUUAUACAAAGUUUACGAGUACACAAAGUGGCUGGAAUACUGACGUGAUCGACAGAGCUAUACUGGACUUUAGCAUCUUAGAUGAUCCCCUGAAACAGAAUAUUUCGUUGCUGUUUGAUGAAGUGAAAGUGAAGUCUGGACUCGUAUACUGUUCUGAAUCAGGCAGAUUGAUUGGAUUUUGUGAUUUGGGGUCUGUGAAUAAUGAUAUUCAGAACUUUUGUAUAAAUGAAUCAGAAACAUCAGAGCCCGGCAUUGCAAGUCAUAUCAUGACAAUAAUGAUACGAGGCAUAUUUUCUAAUCUCGAGUGUGUGGUUGCACAUUACCCUUGCAAAGGAUUCACUAGUUAUCAAUUAUUUUGGAUUAUUUGGCACGGCAUUGGCAUUUUAGAAAAAUAUGGUUUAAUUGUUAGAGCUUUGGUGUGCGACGGUGCUACUCCUAACAGGAAAUUCUACAGGAUUCAUGGACAAAACCAAGAUUUAUGCUAUUUUACAAAUAAUGAAUAUGGAGACGAAAUAAAUCUAUACUUCAUUUGUGAUGCACCUCAUCUAAUGAAAACAACCAGAAAUAACUUUGAGAACUCAGGAUGGAACAAUAAAACCAGAAAUUUAAUGGUAAGUAAUGUGACAUGUUGGGCUAUUCUGCACGAGCUAAAACUCCCUCUUGAAGGCCGUACUUUGGCCUUUAAUUGUUUACUUUUUACACCUUGAGAUUUGGAUGGAGUUGUUUUAUUGCCAUUCAUACCACAUCUUAAUUCCAUUAGAUACACAGAAAAUCGUCUAAAUUUCAUUUUUAAGUAAAAUAUGCCGGUUUUAUAUAUUUUAAACACCCCUGCAGUUCUUUCAAUAAGAAAAUGAAUAUACUGUAGAACCUUUAUUCAAAGAUAUGUAGAUGGCUAAUGUCACAGUAUUGUUUAAUUCUUUUUUUCUCUUUCCAGUUGAAUGGGAAGCCUAUUAAAUGGUCACAGAUAGUAACACUAGUGGAAGGGGAUAUUCAUGGAAUGGGUUUGCGACUUCUUCCAAGGAUCAGUUAUGAGCAUCUUCAUCUAACACCAACUUUGAGAAUGAGAGUCAAAUUAGCAGUGCAGGUUAGUUUUUGUUUUUAUAUACUAGUGCUCUGUACUAGUGCAUGUUGUAAAAAAAUAUUAAACUCCAAAGAGAAAAUAGAUAUUUUACCUUUUUAAAAUACAAAAUAAGAAGGAAAAUUAUAUUAAUUUUAUAUACAGAUGGUCUAUUAAAUAUCAGUAUUUUAAUUUCAGUUGUACAAUACUUUUCAGAUUCUUAGUUCCAGCGUUGCGAAUGCCCUACAACUCAAAGGCAACCCAGAAACUGAGUCAACACAACUUUUCAUAAGAAUGUUUGAUAAAUUUUUCGAUUGCCUGAAUGUGUCAAAUACAAAAUCAGGCAUCUUUCAGAGGAAACCAACUUGUGCACCAUACACUAAUAUCAAUGAUUGGAGAUUUAAGGUUUGUAUAAAUGUUCUUUAGUUUUCUUUUGAUUUUCGAUAUACUAGUAGACUUUGAGAUCUUAAAAACUCGUUCAAAGAAGUAAAAAUAAAUUAUUAAACUUUAAAAUUCUUGGAGUUGCACAUACAUUGUACCCAGGAAUCAAAUGAAAAUAAGGAGAUGUGGUAUGAUUUGCAAUGAUUUUGUAUAAGUUACAUCUAUAAAGUUGCUUCAUUUUUUUACUUAAACAUGUUAAAUAAGGCGGUUUGUUUUCUCGUUUGAAUUGUUUUACAUUGUCUUAUCGGGGCCUUUUAUAGCUGACUAUGCAGUAUGGGCUUUGCUCAUUAUUGAAGGCCGUACUGUGACCUGUAGUUGUUAAUGUUUGUGUCAUUUUGGUCUUUUGUGGAUAGUUGUCUCAUUGGCAAUCAUACCACAUCUUCUCUUUUAUAUUAAUGGGAAAAAAAAUAGAUAAAUAAGUUUAGCAUUACUUUUUUUUUGCAACAGUGGCUAGAGGAGGACUUCCUUAAGUUUUUAACCAAAUGGGAGCAAGAAGGAGAAAAUCAAGCAGAUCUAAGUAAAAAGGAAAAGAAACAACUAUGCCUAAGCAGGGAAACCCUUGAAGGACUGAGAAUAACAGGUAAAUUCUGAUUUCGGAACAAGUGUAUUUUAAAUAAUUUAUCCUUAUUUCACAUUGUAGAUAAAUUUUGUCUGAAUAAUUGUGCUAGGAUUAAGACAACUGUUGACUGUUUUUAUGGUAGGUUUAUAUUUGUCAUUGAUCUAAUAACUAUCAAUAUGGUUAAAUUAAUAAUUUCACUCAUUUCUUUUUCAGUUAAAUCAUUUGUGGAGUUGGGAAAGCAACUGCUUCUGCUACCAAAUGUUCGAUUCCUGUUGAGCGAGAAGUUUAACCAAGAUCCACUUGAAGAAUACUUUUCCAAGCAGAGGGGCAUGGGAGGAUUUUGUGAUAAUCCUACUGUAGGGCAAUUUCAAAACAAUGCAUUAAAGUUGCAAGUUGCAAAUGCUCCGGCAGUAAUGGCAUCUACAAGAGGAAACUGUCAGACAAGACAAAACGCACAGCCAAUUGAAGCACCAUUAAGCAAACGGAAACACAAAAGACAUUGA